rnacentral:lncRNA from 1 species
CGCUGCGUUAGUUUUGAAUUAUGACAUUGGGCUAUGUGUGUGUCAAGUUUCAUCAGAAUCGGUUGAAAGCCGUGGUCAGGGUGAGGGUACGAGAAAACAGACACACAGAAACACGCACAGACAAACUGCCGUUUAUAUAGAGAGAGAUAAACACACACACAUAUAUAUACACACAUAUAUACAUGCACAUACACACACACACACAUAUAUAUAUACAUACACACACACACAUAUACAUACAUAGAUAUAUUUAUAUAUAUACAAUACACAUUGAAAAUUAAAUAAAUAUACAUUGCAUCACCCUGUAUACGAUCUUGGUAUAUGUUACUGAGACAGUUAUAUGAUUGCUGCAUUCACAAAGACUGGGUCUUUGGAUUCCCUUAUUAUUGCUCUAUUCCUGAUAAUAAUAUCUGUUAAUCCUCCCCUGUCCCUGUUGCUUCAUCCUUGGCCAAAACUCCCUCAUCUGCAUUUAGGAAUCUUAUAGGGUUAAUGGAUGCUAUCAUUUUUUUUUCACCCUUUCUCCCCAUGUUUCAGAUACAAGAAAAAAGUAUCAACCCAUGGUUUCAUGACAUUCAGGUCCUUAACAGUGAACACACAAUACCAACACAACUGAAAAAAUUAUUAGGGAUGUCAGUGAACUGUGGAUCUCAAACAUAGCUUCCUGCCAACCAAUACUGUGACCUGGUUUCAAUUCACUGUAGCUUGCUGCAUUAACAUUCACAAUUAACCCUUUCAUUACUGUGUGUUUCUUUCAAUUACUUUAAAUAUAACAAAGAAUUUAGUAAAAUAACUUAAUUAUCAUUAAGCUAGUGUUAGGAACAUAAAUUGUGAUUAAGGUUUGGUGGAAGAUUUUAAUUCAGAACUUAUGAAAACAAGACAUUUGUACUCAGAGCCAGAGGUGGUUUCAGCCAGGUUGGUAACAAAAGGUUAAUAUAUUUAAUUAUUUAUUUUAAAAGAAAAGUUUCAUAUAACCACCCCAAAAAACACACACACACACACAAAAAAGAAUGACAUUAAGUUACAAAGUUUCUAGGAGAGAAGUGGGGGUUAUUAAUAGAGUUAGUAUUGUAUCACAAAAGGACAGGGGUAAUAAUGAAAAUAACAAUAAUAAUAAAGUAAUUAAAUAAACCAUUUGAUUUAACACAGCAAUCUCAGUGGUCCAUAAACCAUUUGAUAUCCAGGGUUUUUCAAAAUAAAAUUUUCAUACACAGAACGUUCUUGAAAAGUUUUGAGAAAACCAUUAUAACAUCAAGAUGUGGAAUAUAGUGAAAAACAAAGCAACUAUAAAAUCAUAAAACGUGUGUGUGUGUAUAUGCACACACAUAUAUAGAAAAAAAUUAAUGACAAUUGACCUUUUAGCAUUCAGAUUACUCUGUCAAAUGUAAUGCUUAUUUGUUCUUCAUUGUUUUAAAUUAAUCAUGCUUUAUCAUGCAUUAUCCUGAUUAUUCUUAGAAUGACAUUGUAGGGUAGGUCUGAGAGGUCAGAUCUGGCCAGUUUAAACAUGAAACAGGUAGAAUAUUUUGGCUUAAUGUGGCUGGUUUAAGUGCUAAUGGGUUAAUGGUAUGGCCUUGUUUAUACCAAAGACCAUGAAAAACAAGCGUCAAUACAGACUUAUGUUGGAAAAAAUACAAACCAUUCACAUUGAACAAUCAGUUUAGUAGAUGUGUGCUACAGAACAACGGUCCUUGACCCUCUUUUAUUUAUGGGCCCCUUUGGUUCCUAUUUUAUUCUACUGGACCCCUGUAGCUAUUUGAAGUUUAAAAAAAUUCUUUAUAUUUUUGACUAAAUAUAAUUAGGAAUUGUAUUUUUGGCUAAAUAUAAUUAGGUUUAUUUAUUAUGGUAGUUUUGACUUUUAGAGUCCCUCCUAGCAUGAGGCAUUUAUGUAUAGUAAUGCCCUUAAUAUAAGUAAAUAUAUUUAAGAGGAAUAAUUGAUGGCUUUUUCCCUUAUGAGGUUUUUCAUGCUAACUACUUGAUAAAUUCUUAUAAAGAUUUUAUCCUAUUUUUCAAUUAUAAUUAGGAAUUGUGUAAAAAUAUUGUUAAAGGAUUUUGUGUAUUGUAGAAGUAUUUCCAAUUUAUUGCACUUAGAUUUUAACAACAAAAUCUUACAUAGACCCUUAAGGGUCAUAUGGACCCAGGUUGAGGACCACUGCUGUAGAAUAAAAGAUGUUUUUUUUUUGUCUGUUGAAAUUUGUAGUGUUAAAUCUGCUUUAUUUGCACACAGAACAAAAUGAUUUCAGUGAAAAAAAAAAAAAAAAAGAAAAUGGAGAUGAUCACAGAAAUUUGAACCCAGGAACCUUGGGCAAUGAACACAUUGUUUCGGUAUUUCGAAUUAUGCAAAUACCGGUGUAAUGUCAGAUGCUGCACUAGUAAUAUGCUUCAAGUGAAACAAAUGUUAUGCACAUAAAUUAUGUUGCAUAAAUGCAUGUAGUUUUUAAAGUGCAACAGAAAAUAAAAAAUAAAAAACUUGAGUGAAAUGAAAAAUAUAUAAAGAAAAUAUAUAAAAAUUGCAAAAAAAUUCUUCCCCCACCCCACCAAACAAAAAUAAAUAAAUUUUACCCAUGUUUUCCUUUGCAUUAUCAUCAUUGUUAUUCUGCUGCCUCCCACUAUCAGACAUCCCCUACUCCUCUACUCAUUUCUACCCUCCUCCUAUUUUGAAGGUAUCUCCUAAUACCUCAUUACCACUAUUAUUACUUACUCUCCUGCUCAACCCAAACACUUCUCAUUCUCUCUUCUAAAAUAUGAACAGUCUUUGUAGACCCAGUACAGCAAGAAACUUAUUCUGAUCUACUCCCACUUUUCCUCUCUCUCCAUUCCACAUCUUCUGACAUAAAGUUGCCCUUCUUGGGGUUCAUAGUCUUGCAAACUGCAUCACAACUAAGAAUAAUCAAUAAUAAGUAAAUUGAUCCCUCUGAUGUAUGUAAGACUUUAGUAAUAGAUGGAUUUAAAAGCUGUGUCUCAGUGAAUCCCUAAAAAGAGAACUCAGUCGAAGAAGAAAUUCCAACACAGGAGUGAAAUAUCUUUUUCUAUUUUAUUUGUGUCAGUGCUACAUUUUUUGUUCAACCUAAUACUGCAUCAUCAUCAUCAUCCUCAUCAUCAUCAACAACAACAUCAUCGUUUAAUGUUUGCUUUCCAUGCUGGCAUGGGUUGGACGGUUUGACUGAGGACUGGCAAGUCAGGAGGCUGCUGCAGGCUCCAAUCUGAUCUGGCACGGUUUCUUCAGCUGGAUGCCCUUUUUAAUGCCAACCACUCUGAGAGUAGGGUAGGAGCUUUUUAUGUGCCACCGGCACGGGGGCCAGUUAGGAAGCACUGGCAUCAACUACACUUGAAUGGUGCUUUUUACGUGCCACCGGCACUGGCAUCGGCUACACUUGAAUGGUGCUCUUUACAUGCCACCAGCAUGGGUGCCAACCAACACUGGUUCUCAAGUGGUUAUGACACACACACACAAAGCCAUGGAUUUGAUUCACUAAGAAAUUUCCCACCAUAACAAACUAUAUAAUUAAUUCUAUGAUUUUAAGCCCCCUACUCAGUCGAGAUGGUGGGUCAUGAUUUAAAUGCAUCGAAUAUUUUUUUCCUUGAAUACAGAAGAAAAAAUGUGUAACAAUCAUAAAUCUAUUCAUUCAUCCAUCUUAUCCAUCCACUAAUCUCAUGAGAGCAGAAUCCUCAGGUACCUCCUUCACAGGGUCCUAUCAAAAGCAACCAUCAUUAAAUUUUCCUACUCAAUCUUUAAUGGUUGCCCCUUCAUUGGACCAACUUUGGGGUCCUGGGACAUGCAUCCUUUAUUUUCCCGUUCCUACACCUCCCAGAACAAGUUACAGGAUUAUUGCUGGUUGUACUGGCAUUGGGUGGAGACUACAAUAUAUUUUUCAAACGGACUCCUCUACCUAAGAUCUGAACAGGUCCCUUGUUCACACAUGCAACAGGCAAUGCAGUAUGGUUCUUUAUCUGGAACCCUUUCAUAUUGCAGGCACCAAGUUAGUAUUUGUAUUUGAUUCAUAAAAAUAAUGACAAAAUAAAUAAAUUACAAAAUAUGAAAACAUAAAAGAUACCAGAAAAAAAAAAAUAAUAAUCUCAAGAGAUUUUAACAAAAAUUAUCAAGAAAUGUGAUGUAAUAUUGUUGAAAAUUUUUUUUGAAUAAAAGACUAUGGUUUUAUGGUUAUUAUUAGUUUAUCACAGAAAAACUAUAAGGAUUUUAAACAGUAAACAUCUCUAACUGGGACUAAAAUAUACUAAAAUAAAAAAAAAAUAGCUGUGGACUUUCACCAAAGCAAUCAUUACUACUACUACUACUACUACUACUACUACUACUACUGCUGCUGCUGCUGCUGAUAAUAAUAAUAAUAAUAAUAAUCUGAAAUCUGGAGGAGGGGAACAGUUGAUUACAUUGACUCCCGUACUUGACUGGUAUUUAUUUUAUUGACCCUGAAAGGAUGAAAAACGAAGUCGACCUCAGCAGAAUUUGAACUCAGAAUGUGAAGAUGGACGAAAUGCCGCUAAGCAUUUUGCACAGUGUGCUGACAAUUCUGCUAGUUCACUGCCUUAAUAAUAAUAAUAAUGAUGAUCCUUUCCACUAUAGGCACAGGGCCUGAAAAUUUAGGGGAGGAGACUGGUUGAUUACAUUGACCCCGGUAUUCAACUGGUGCUUAGUUUAUCGACCCUGAAAGGAUGAAAGGCAAAAUCAACCUUGGUGGAAUUUGAACUCAAAACAUCUUUAAGACAAAUGAAAUGUCGUUAAGCAUUUUGCCCGACAAGCUAACGAUUCUGCUAGCUUGCCACCUUAAUAAUAAUAACAAUAAUAAUAAUAAGACCAAUAAUAAUAAUAAUAAUAAUAAUAAUAAUAAUAAUAAUAAUAAUAUUGCCAUCGCCACCUCCAAUACUGCAAAUAUUACCAUGAUUUUGCCUUUCAUCCUUUUGGGGUCGAUAAAUUGAGUACCAAUUGCAUACUGGAGUCAAUCUAAUCAACUGGCCCCUUUCCUCAAAUUUCGGGUCUUGUACCUAGUGUAGAAAAGAAUAAUUGUCACUGUCAUACAAGCAGGGUCAUUCAUUUCAAAUGUUCUGCAAGGCGGCGAGCUGGUAGAAACAUUAGCAUGCUGAGAGAAAUGCUUAGCGGUAUUUCGUCUGCCGCUAUGUUCUGAGUUUAAAUUCUGCUGAGGUCGAUUUUGCCUUUCAUCCUUUUGGGGUUGAUAAAUUAAGUACCAGUUAUGCACUGGAGUUGAUGUAAUCGACUUAACCCCUUUGUCUGUCCUUGUUUGACCCCUCUAUGUUUAGCUUCUUGUGGACAAUAAAGAAAUAAGGAAAUAUUGCCUUGUUUAGAAGCAGGUAAGGGCUGGUGACAGGAAGGUCAUCCAGCUGUAGAAAAUCUGUCAAUAAACUCCUUCUGGUCCACGUAAGCGUGGAAACAUGGACAUUAAAAUAAUGAUAAAAUAAUGGUUUCAAAUCUUGCCAAAAGGGCAGCCAUUUUGGGGUAGGGGAUGAGUCAGUUAUAUUAAGCCCAGUGUUUCACUGGUGGCCCAUUGAUGGAUACCUUUGAUUAUGAAAUAGAAAAGGUGGGGCAAAUAUUUAUCAAGUGGGGGGUGGUGGAUGAAUCUUUUAUCAUUUACUUGUUUUAGUUAUUGGACUGUGGCGAUACUGGGGCACCACCUCAAAGGGUUUUAGUUGAAGAAAACCUCAUCUUUUAUCUUUGAUUCUGUCCAAAUCGUUGGACUGUGGCCAUACUGGGGCACUGAUUUGAAAGAUUUUAGGGGAACAAAUCAACACCAUCCCUUAUCUUUUAUUUGUUGCAGUCACUGGCCAUGCAGGGACACUGUCUUCAAGAGUUUUAGUCAAAGAAAUUGACCAGUACUUUGUGUUUUUCUUUCUAUUAAUUCUGGUACUUAUUCUAUUAGUCUAUUUUGCUGAACUGCUUAGUUACAGGGACAUAAACAAACCAAGAUAAAUAUUUUAUCUCUCAAUUUCUAGAAUUGAGAGAUAAGGCCAGCAAUAUAAGGGCAGGUGUUAGACAAUUAAAUCAACUCCAAUACUUGAGUGGCACUUUAUUUUUUUGUCCUGGAAGGAUAACAGGAAAAGCUGACCUUGGCAGGAUUUGAACUCAGAAUAUAGAGAUGAAACAAAAACCACAAAGCUUGUUCACUGACAUAAAUAAUUCUACCAAGUCACUGUCUUAUCUUUUGCUACAUAAUGAUUUCUAAUUCAGGAGCUGGAGAUUAAGUCAGUUAAUUUGACUCCAGUACAUGACUUGCAUUUUGUUUUACUGACCCCAGCAGGAUGAAAGACAAAAUUGCCCUCACCAGGAUUUGAACUUAGAAUGUAAAAACCCAAAACAAAUAUCACAAAGCAUUGAUUGAUGCUCUAAUGAUUUGGUCCAUUAACUAUUGUUAUGUUUAGUUUACUAAGGACAAGAACAAAAAUAGGAGGAGACUUUCAAACUGGACCCCGACCCCUGCCCAUAGUGAUAUACCUUGAUAUGCUUAAAUAUAAUGACAUUAGGAAAGGCAUCAAGCUGUAGAACACAGCUGGAUGCUCUUCCAUGCCAAAAGCAAACAUUGGAGCAUGCUGCAAUCUACUGGUGUACUGGCUCCUGUCGAACCUAUUUCUUUAUUACCCACAAGGGGCUAAACAUAGAGUGGACAAACAAGGAUAGACAUAGGUAUUAAGUCGAUUACAUCGACCCCAGUGCAUAACUGGUACUUAAUUUAUCGACCCCGAAAGGAUGAAAGGCAAAGUCGACCUCGGCGGAAUUUGAACUCAGAACGUAAAGACAGAUGAAAUACUGCUGAGCAUUUCGCCCACGUGCUAACGUUUCUACCAGCUACCUGUCUUGGGUCGAACCAUCCAACUCAUGCCAGCAUGAAAAACAGAUGUUAAAUGGUGAUGAUGAUGGUCUUUUAAGAGUCAGUUGUUAAGCUGUGGUUUUGUAGUAUUAAACACAAAACACAAGACAUUAACAUUCAAUAGAGACCAAUCUUUCAUAGGCAACAUACCCAAGAGAUCUUGUACCUAUUUCAAGAGACAGCAAAAUGUAAACUGAGGUAAUAAGGGUUCAAAGGGUUUUGCCUAGACAAAACACAACAGCACUGGAGUUGAAAAUGCAACAAUGAUUUCAUCUCAUUAUAUGUAUAAAGACAUCACUCACACAGAAAUGUUUUACUUGUAUGAGCCCCAAGUAGAGGAAGUUUGGAGGGAAUGGACAAAGUUUAUUAAUUUCACAAGAGUGAGGACCUAAGACAAGACUGAAAAACUGGGUUUUGGGUCACAUGAUUGUGUUAACAACAACACGAACAACAUAGAUGGUUUCCAGCAUAGGUAAAAGACCACAAAUUUCUGGGAGGAUGGAAUGGUUAAUUGAAUCAAUCACAGUAUAUAUAACUGAUAGUAUUUUAUCAACUCCAGAAUUUGAAUUAAUUAUUUUGGCACAAGGCCAGCAAUUUUGAGGGAUUGGGAAAUCAAUUACUUCAGCCCCUGAAAAGAUGAAAGGCAAAGUCAACCUUUGCCAAAAGGGCAACUAUUUUAGGGUAGGGGAUGAGUCGAUUAUAUUAAGCCCAGUGUUUCACUGGUGGCCCAUUGAUGGAUUAUGAAAUAGUAAAGAUGAAAGAAAUGCCAAUAAAUAUUUUAUUCAGUGUUCUAAUGAUUCGGCCAGCUCACCACAUAAUAAUAAUAAUAAUAAUAAUAAUAAUAAUAAUAAUAAUAAUGGUUUCAAAUUUUGCCACAAAGACAGCAAUUUUGGGUGAGGGGAUGAGUCGAUUCCGUUGACCCCAGUGCUCAACUGGUACUUAUUUUAUCGACCCAGAAAGGAUGAAAAGCAAAGUCAACCUUGGUGGAAUUUGAACUCAGACCUAACAGCAGACAAAAUACUGCUAAGCAUUUCAUCCAGUAUGCUAAUGAUUCUGCCAGCUCACCAUCUUAAUAAUAAUAAUAAUAAUAAUAAUAAUCUUUUCUACUAUAGGCACAAGGUCUGAAAUUUUGGGGAAGGGAUUAGUCGAUCACAUCAAUCCUAGUAACAGACUGGUACUUGUUUUAUUGACCCUGAAAUGAUGAAGGGCAAAACUGACCUCGGUGGAAUUUGAACUCAGAACAUAGUGGCAAAUGAAAUACCGCUAAGCAUUUUGUCCGGCAUGCUAACGAUUCCACUAGCUCACUACCUUAAUAAUAAUAAUAAUAAUUAUUAUUUUUAAUUUUUGCCACAAGGGUAGCUUGGGGGAGGUGAGGAUGUGUUGAUUACAUUGACCCCAGUGUUCAUUUUAUUGACCCCGAAAGAAUGAAAGGCAAAGUUAACCUCAGCAGAAUUUGAACUCAGAAUGUAGCAACGGGCAAAAUACAGCUAAGCAUUUCGUCCAGCGUGCUCGCUGCCUUAACAACGACGACGGCGGUGGCACCGCUGAUAACAACAACAACAGCAACAAUAAUUUACCCUUAAAAAAUUCUGCUACAUUCCUCCCGCACAUCUAUAACAAUUAUGAAAUUGCUGCAUCUCAUCAUGACAUGAAAUAAUAUGUUAAUUGCGUCGUUGGCUAUAAUUAUGUUUAAUUUAAUGUAAACGGAUCGUUAGAAAUUCCAUGCUUCAUUAACACAUGGUGCACAGCUCGGAAUGAUCAAAUAUUAUUUUUUUUUUAGCACAUGCACGAAGAUACACACUUUUAGAUUUUAAAUAUUUCUUCCUUAUUUACAUAAUUAUUUUAAAAAUCAAAUGCAAUCGCACAUUUACACAAACACAUAUUCACACAAACACACACACAUACACAGAUAUAUAUGCAUAUAUGUAUGUAUGAGUAAUUAUAUUCAAAUAUUUAUAUAGAGGGAACGAGAAAUUAAUGUUUGUUUUUAUGUCAUAAUAAAAACAAGUUAACACAU